AAAGAAACCAACAGGGAUUACCUCAGUAACGGCGAGUGAAGCGGUAACAGCUCAAAUUUGAAAUCUCCCUUCCGGGCGAGUUGUAAUUUGUAGAAGAUGCUUUGGGUAUGGCCCCGGUCUAAGUCCGUUGGAACACGGCGUCAUAGAGGGUGAGAAUCCCGUAUGUGACUGGGUGCCUUUGCCUAUGUAAAGCUCUUUCGACGAGUCGAGUUGUUUGGGAAUGCAGCUCAAAAUGGGUGGUAUAUUUCAUCUAAAGCUAAAUAUUGGCCAGAGACCGAUAGCGCACAAGUAGAGUGAUCGAAAGAUGAAAAGCACUUUGGAAAGAGAGUUAAACAGUACGUGAAAUUGUUGAAAGGGAAGCGCUUGCAACCAGACUUGCACGCUGUUGAUCAUCCAGGCUUCUGUUUGGUGCACUCAACUGUGUUCAGGCCAGCAUCGGUUUUGGUGGUUGGAUAAAGGCCUUGGGAAUGUAGCUUCUUUCGGGGUGUUUAUAGCCCUCGGUGCAAUGCAGCCUACCGGGACCGAGGACCGCGCUCGGCUAGGAUGCGGCGAAA
rnacentral:rRNA from 1 species